GGGAAGACUCCCUCGCACUACAGCGUUUUUCGUGGCCUGCGGAGCCCGGCGCCUGCUCGGCCGAUGCGCUCUACGGCGGCAGCGACACCGACCGCGGCGCAAGCGGCACGUAUUCUGUCACUGAAGCAAAAGCUGCAGGCGUUGCCGACAGAACAAGACCACUACCGUCGCCACUAUGAGGAGCCGGAGGGAGUCUGUUGAGAUGUGCUGGACGACUUGACGGAGAACGAAGGACGCUGUGCGCAUGACUCAACGGGAAUAGGGCCGCCGUCUGCUGAAGAUGGCGCGCCCCUUUGCUGGAUGCAUCGUCGUCGCCGCCAUCGCGACUGGCAUCGCCCGCGACGGCACCGCGUGCGAGUGCGGGAAGGCACGGGCUGGGCUACCCGGUCUCAGCUUCCCGUGAUGGGCCACACUCGCACCCAUCUCUGUGUAGCGACGCGACACCCGCGGGAGUUUCAAGUCGGAGAGCAACCCAACGUCAUUUGAGCGACCACCCUCCGCCGUCCCGGCGCACCACGAUAUCAUCGUCAAGGCCAGACCCGCGCUUGCGGUGUUCUGGUGAGGCGGACGUACUCUCGCCGCAAGAGACGCAGCUGCUGCUUAGACGUCUGCGUAGAUUGCAUCAAUGGAUGGGCGAUCUGGUCACCGGCGUGUCGGCAGCCACGUCGUCAGGAUGUGCGGACGUCGGCUGUAGGGGUGAUGGCGCCAUACGCGACCCCUCUGCAACGGCCACAGAGGUGAUUGCUAAUGUGUGCCCAUGUAGCGACUCGAGUGCGGCUUGCUCAGCCUUCCCGCUCUCAGCGCGUGAGUCGCCGCUGAAGCGUGUCACGGCGCUCAGGCUGCACCGCGUGGUAGAUGACCUGUUCAUGCUCUUCACACAGCUGCAGGCGACGCUGACGGACGUUGUGUGGUGCACCAGCCACCCUCCUGCGCUCUCCACCCCUGUCCGCACGCAUCUCGCCCAUGACGUGGAGGUGGAGCGGCUGCGAGCCAUUAACCAGCAGCUGCGGCGUACCCUCCGGGGCUACGAGCAGUCGCACCAGACUGCCAGUGAGGCACCGGCGCCACGGCCCUACGAUAGCAUCAAAGCACCUCGUCGUGCAGCGCCGCCGCUAUCGUCACCACCGCCACCUGCGGGCUAUGCAGCCUCCCAUGAGUCUGGCCUGCUCAUUGCCCUUCGUCGACGGUGAGCGUAACCACGCCGCGCCAUGCCCCCCCUCCCCCCCAAUUCACGUCUUCUGCCGCCUCCUUUUUCUCGCUCGUCUGUCUCGUGGUGUCUGAUUUCCUGUUCACGUGUCUGCAGCGGCGCUACGUGAGCACAGACGCCGGUGCGCCCGAAGAG
rnacentral:misc_RNA from 1 species